AGAGGCCACGACAGUGAGAGGCCCGCGUACCGCAAAAAAAAAAAAAAGAGAAAAAAAUUGAAAAAAAAAAACAAACCUCAGAUUCCAUCCUGGAAAGAGGAUCACCUCCGUCGUCUUUGGAGUCGUGUUUACACAUAUGCUGUAGGUCUACAUUUUACAUCAGUUGAUAGAAUAGGAGUGUGUGGGAAAAUAUCUGAAUCCAUCGAAGGGAGAAACCCAGAGGGUCUGUGGGUGAUCUUUUUCUCAGACUUACCCCUUUCUUCUCCCUGAAACAUUCCAGUUCAUACAAAAUCUAAUUUAGAAUGAACUGGGUUUUUAAAAAAAGCAAAGCCAGUAGUUUUUCUAAUGAAAUCAACAAAGAAAAGGGAACAAAGGGUAUGUUUAAUAUGAUAAUGGCAUAACUAUUUUUUGAUUUUCACAGCAAUUUAAAUACAAUUUAUAUACACUUCAAAGGCAUUCUUAUUUUGAUGAUAGUUUCUUACUUUCUUUAAGUAAACUUCUCUAAGAGUUAAAAUCAGUAUCAUAGCCUUAACCAUAGAUUACUUGAUCUCUUACUCAGAUUUCUGAUCACAGAUACUGUCCAUAAAUGAUGGACAUCUAAUUUCUGAGGUGGAACAGUUUUGAAAAUGACUAGAUCCUGAAAGAUUUACCUGUUGGCUCUGACAGUUGCCAUGUAAGGUCUAGGUGCUUGUUGGAACUCUGUCCACGAUUCAGUGGUGCAGUGACGCAGUGUCACCAGCAGAUUUGCUCUUCUAGCUAUUAGUUUUCAACAGCUGGAUCAAACCUGGGCAAAAAGCUUGGCAGGUACUGAAGUAAUUCAAGGAAGGUGGCUCUGAGCAGUGGUAGGUAUAAACUUAAAACACAUGCACACAAGAGGUCUUGGAGACUGGAUUUAGUAGCAAGUUGUUUGGAUUAUAAAACAGGUGUGGUAGGGUAUCCAAGCUGGCAAAACUAGGAAACGGGCAACAGCUAUUGUUGGUGUGAUUCCAGCUCCUCUGAGAGCUGAUUUCCUUCUUUCAGUGAUAUUUUCUAAUUAUUGCUGACAUUCUCUCUUGAUAUUUCCCUCAUAUAUAUUCCAUUCUUAUCAAUUCUUGUUAAAGUAUUAACCAAAUCUAUGUAUCAGACCAGACUUUCUGUGUUACAAUUUCUCAGAGAAUUGCAGAUCAUUUAUAUAUCUCAGUCUGGACUCCCAGGAAACAUGCAUAAUUGUUCCAUAAAAAUUUCUCCUUAUACUCUAUUCUUAAAAUAUUAUCAUUGGAUUGAUUAAAAAACAAUUUUUGAUGGUAUGGUGAUGUUCCGAUUGUCUGAUGAUGUUCUGGUGGUACGACAAUGCUGUGAUGGUUAGUGGGCGUGUGUUGGUUGGAGUUGCUGCAUUAGCUGGUGAUGCUGUGAUGGUUGGUGAUGCUGAGAUGCUGCUGCUGUGAUGGCUGGUGAUGCUGUGAUGGCUGGUGAUGCUGAGAUGGUAUAAUGAUGAAUGCAUGAGCGGUGAUGCUGUGAGUUACCAGGUUACAAAUGACUGGGUAGUGACUAUAUGUAACAUUCAGGGUUGUGAGGGUAAUAAUGAAUGGGUCAAAAAUGACUUCUUGUUAAAAACAUCUAAUCAAUUUCAUGGAACACAGAUCUUUGCCAUAAAGAAGAUGGCUCUCCAGGUGAAAAUAGAAGUUAGGAAGAUAGAGGCAUAACAUAGUAUACUGCUGCCUUGGAUGAAUCUUUUCCAAAGGGCUCGUUUUUCUCUUCCUUAGGUUUCUGCGGAUUUUAAUCAUGAUGAUACCAUUUUGUCACAGCCCACCUGUAUAUCAAAAAGUACUUGCUUUGAAUAAAUACUACUUAAAAAUUA